CCUGGUGUCACCUGAGACUGCCCUGUAGUGAUAAGGGUUAGACUUUGGAGACAGUCCCUUAGAAGGGAAUGUCUUAUCAGGUGAGGAAUUUGAACACGAUCCCUGGGGGAGCAAGGGGAAAUCAAGAUGGAGGCAGCCACAUGGUCUAUGCUGAAGGAACCUGCUGUAGUAUCAUUAAAGGGCAACACCCAUGAAACAUGGAUUGUUCCCAGCAGAAAUGCUGUUUAACAAGAAACUCAAAAUGAGGCUGCCAAAUCUUGUGGAUGAUGCUCAUCAGAAUGAAAAUCCAGACAUGAAAACAUUUAAAAAAUGUGACAAACUCGAACAAAAAUUAUACUAUGAUAAAGGUUCCAGGAAGAUACCACAAAUGCACAACAAAGAUAUGGUGUUUAUUUCAGAUGGAGAAGCGUGGAAACAAAAAGUACUAGUUUCCCAUCAAGUAGCUCCCAGAUCCUAUAAAGUAGUCACACUGGAAGGACAGGUGUUAAGAAGGAACAGACAACACUUGCAGCUCGUAAAGGGGAGAAAAGAAGAAGAAUCACGAGAUUUGCCAAAGGAAACAGAACUAACAUCAAAGCAACAAGAAAUGACAGAGGAGAUUGAAAAUGACACAGAAAUAGAGACAUCUGAACAAGGAAACCAAACAAGAACUGAACAAAUAAGGAUUGACAAUUUAGAGAAACUGAGAUCACUUAGACAUAAAAAGCCAACACAAAAACUAAUAGACACCCUUUGAAUGUGUUUUAACUAUGGGUUGAACUAAACUUCCAAUGUUAGUAGAACAUGGGGACAUGUUACAUGUAAAGAGGGGAGAUGUGUGGAUAUCUUUUAAGAGUGUUAUGUAUAAGUGUUUACAAUUGCCCAGGAAUUGCAGGAUGGAACAGCAGAACAGUAGGCAGGCAUUGCUCUCUGAAUAAACAAGCUUUAUCGUUUUAUAA